CCUACGGGAGGCUGCAGUGGGGGAUAUUGGACAAUGGGGGCAACCCUGAUCCAGCCAUGCCGCGUGUGUGAAGAAGGCCCUCGGGUUGUAAAGCACUUUCAGUGAGGAAGAACGCCUGGUGGUUAAUACCCAUCAGGAAAGACAUCACUCACAGAAGAAGCACCGGCUAACUCCGUGCCAGCAGCCGCGGUAAUACGGAGGGUGCGAGCGUUAAUCGGAAUUACUGGGCGUAAAGCGCGCGUAGGUGGCUUGAUAAGCCGGUUGUGAAAGCCCCGGGCUCAACCUGGGAACGGCAUCCGGAACUGUCAAGCUAGAGUGCAGGAGAGGAAGGUAGAAUUCCCGGUGUAGCGGUGAAAUGCGUAGAGAUCGGGAGGAAUACCAGUGGCGAAGGCGGCCUUCUGGACUGACACUGACACUGAGGUGCGAAAGCGUGGGUAGCAAACAGGAUUAGAUACCCGUGUAGUC
rnacentral:rRNA from 1 species